rnacentral:misc_RNA from 1 species
UACAUAGUUUUCUUUUAUCGUACAAAAUGCAUUUCCUAUUACAGUAAAGUAAAAAAUAAAAGUUCAUAGUAAUAAUUAAACAUACACGUACAAGUAACGUUUAUUUUCCCCAACUAAGAAGAAAUUAUUAUUUGUAGAACUCCCUACAAUAAAGCCUCGAUAGCUUGCCAAAUCAAUACAUUUAAACACUUUCAACUAAGUUUCCAUAAAUUUUGCUUUCUGCAAGAAAUGAAGAGACUAAACUUAAAUUUCGACUUGUAGUUAAAAUAGUGAACAAAAAGUAAAACUUUUGAAAAGAAUACGAAAAGGAAAAAACAGUAAAAGAGAAUUACCAUCUCCACACCUUUCGUGGCACUUGUUAUCACAAAUCAGGUACUCCUCCGCUAAAAAAAUUUAACAAAUUCUUGCUGUAUAAGCUUUUAGGAUAACAGAAAUUUCACACAGAAGUCAAAUGUUACUGCUCUUUGAGUAAAUUUUCAAAUUCCAAUCGUUUAUAUUAGAAUUUAAUAUACCUAAGUUUCGAUGAAAUUAAAAGUGAGUAUAUAAUAGACAUACAUGGGAGACCGGCACAGCCGGUGUUGCAGUUGUCAUAGCAACUGAGACCUUGAGCAGCAACACUGAUCGUGUCGAUAUUGGCCGAUGAAAGGAUGAUGAACACCAUAGCUAUAGCUGCCAUUUUCUUCUUCUCCAUUUUUUUUUUCCUUAUGAGAGAACUGUCGGUAGAUUUGUGUGUAUAUAUAUAUAUUAGCUCGUUGUAACACUAUUGUUAGUGCCGUACAGGGGACAUGUGGCGGAGGAAUAUUCAUCAAUUUUCAAUCGGAUAAGUCUAAUUUGGAAUACCAAACUUUUACUUCUCUUUUAAUUGAUUUGUUUGAUUUUCGAAUUUUAAUACUAAUACUAAUUUAUUUAGUCUGGUAAUUUCACAAACGAUAACAAGGCCUCAUCUGCUUGCAUUUUAAUCGGUCCGAAGAGAUCUGAACAAUUAGAUUUGUAGGAGAUUUUUAAUAAUAUUCAUACUCAUUUGAUAAGUUGUCAAAUAAUAAAUUAUAACUUCUAUGCUUUGAACCUGACUUUUUAUCUCAUAACUAAAGAGUUUCUUUCUCUCAUUUCUCAAUUAAACAUCAUAUAAGUUUUCGUAAAAAUACUUUCAAGUAUUUGUUUUUUCCUAUUAAUAUUUUUUUUCUGUAUUGGUGUGUGUCAGGAACACUUGUUGCAAUAAGAUUUUUAAUGUGUUGUUGUUUAUCAAUGUUUUUGAAUGAAAAA